GUGUAAACAUGCCCACUGGGACCCCCGGGACCUGUUGGCUGGCUCACAGGCAGAUGAAGAGCUUCAGGAUGGAGACCCCCGCUGUAGAAAAACCCCAGAAAAAUGUUUGGGAAUGCAUAUGGCAACAUCAAAAAGGCUUAGUGCAGGAACAGGUUUAGGGUCCAUCCACAUAUAUCCAGAGACCCCAUUCAGUUUCCUUCUGGUACUCUAGAAAAAAAUUGGAGGUAAACUGAUAAUCAAACUGUCCAGAAGUGCCUUCAGCUCAAAACUAGCGAAAUGGAAAGUACGAAAGUUGGGGGUUCUUUGGAGCUGUAUGCAGAGGUGAAUGAACUUCAACGUACGCCAACAGUUAGACAUACAGGACAACGUGUUUUGGCGCACACUCAAGUCUUCCUCAGGUCCACAUUAAUUUACUAGAAAACACAUAUACAAAUAGGGUAAUUAGCAUCUAAAAAUGCACACAUGUAAGCUACAAUACAAAAAACACUUCACAAUAAAAAUGUUAAUAGAAAAUGUGUGCAUGUAAUCAUCUGCACAAAGGUAUCUAAGUAGUAGGCAACCAUAUACAGCGGUAACAAGAAAAAAACUUUGGUAUAUAACACAGGAAUACGUAUGGUUGAAGUAACAGUCCAUCAACAGGAAUCAAGUUGCAGAUGACAGUGUAAAAUUGGAGUAGAAAGCAUAUGUAAAUACUUAGUAUAGCGGCAGAAGGUGGCAGUCCAUAGUAA